rnacentral:rRNA from 1 species
GACGAACGCUGGCGGCGUGCUUAACACAUGCAAGUCGAGCGGUAAGGCCCUUUCGGGGGUACACGAGCGGCGAACGGGUGAGUAACACGUGGGUGACCUGCCCUCAGCUCUGGGAUAAGCCUGGGGAAAACCGGGUCUAAUACCGGAUAUGACUCCAUGACGCAUGUUGNGGGGUGGAAAGCCUUGUGCGGCUGAGGAUGGGCCCGCGGCCUAUCAGCUUGUUGGUGGGGUNAUGGCCUACCAAGGCGACGACGGUAGCCGGCCUGAGA